rnacentral:rRNA from 1 species
AGCAGCCGCGGUAAUUCCAGCUCCAAUAGCGUAUAUUAAAGUUGUUGCAGUUAAAAAGCUCGUAGUUGAAUUUCGGGGUUAGUAGGUUGGUCAUGCCUCUGGUAUGUACUGGUCUCACUGAUUCCUCCUUCCUGAUGAACCGUAAUGCCAUUAAUUUGGUGUUGCGGGGAAUUUGGACUGUUACUUUGAAAAGAUUAGAGUGUUUAAAGCAGGCUAACGCUUGAAUACAUUAGCAUGGAAUAACGGAAUAGGACGUUCGAUCUUAUUUUGUUGGUUUCUAAGAUUGACGUAAUGAUUAAUAGGGAUAGUUGGGGGCAUUAGUAUUCAAUUGUCAGAGGUGAAAUUCUUGGAUUUAUUGAAGACUAACUACUGCGAAAGCAUUUGCCAAGGAUGUUUUCAUUAAUCAAGAACGAAAGUUAGGGGAUCGAAGACGAUCAGAUACCGUCGUAGUCUUAACCAUAAACUAUGCCGACUAGGGAUCGGAUGAUGUAAUUUUUAAUGACUCAUUCGGCGCCUUACG